rnacentral:rRNA from 1 species
UACGGAGGGUGCAAGCGUUUAAUCGGAAUUACUGGGCGUAAAGCGCACGUAGGUGGUUUGUUAAGCUAGCUGUGAAAUCCCCGGGCUCAACCUGGGCACUGCAGUUAGAACUGGCAAGCUAGAGUAGGGUAGAGGGGUGUGGAAUUCCAGGUGUAGCGGUGAAAUGCGUAGAUAUCUGGAGGAACAUCAGUGGCGAAGGCGACACCCUGGACUCAUACUGACACUGAGGUGCGAAAGCGUGGGGAGCAAACAGG